rnacentral:sRNA from 1 species
UUCUGGUUCAAUGGUAGUAGGGUAUCAGAAUUUAUUAACAUUAGUGUCACUAAAGAUGAUAUACAACCCUCCACUAUCAAAUAUGACUGGAUUUUA